UACGUAGGGUCCAAGCGUUAUCCGGAAUCACUGGGCGUAAAGCGUGCGUAGGCGGUUUGUUAAGUGAGAUGUGAAAUCGUGUGGCUCAACCGUAUCGUUGUGUCUCAUACUGGCAAACUAGAGGAUAGCAGAGGCAAGUGGAAUUACGAGUGUAGCAGUGAAAUGCGUAGAGAUUCGUAGGAACACCAAUGGCGAAGGCAGCUUGCUGGGCUAUUUCUGACGCUCAGGCACGAAAGCGUGGGGAGCGAACAGG
rnacentral:rRNA from 1 species